rnacentral:rRNA from 1 species
AGGACGAACGCUGGCGGCGUGCUUAACACAUGCAAGUGGAGCGACGAACCAGGGCUUGCCCUGGGGCAGAGCCGCGAACGGGUGAGUAACACGUGGGUUACCUGCCUCGAUGACCGGGACAACCCGAGGAAACUCGGGCUAAUACCGGAUGUGCCCGCAAGGGGAAAGGAAGCUUCGGCCUCCGCAUCGAGAUGGGCCCGCGGCCCAUUAGCUUGUUGGUGAGGUAACGGCUCACCAAGGCUUCGAUGGGUAGCUGGUCUGAGAGGACGAUCAGCCACACUGGGACUGAGACACGGCCCAGACUCCUACGGGAGGCAGCAGUGGGGAAUCUUGCGCAAUGCGCGAAAGCGUGACGCAGCAACGCCGCGUGGGGGAAGAAGGCUUUCGGGUUGUAAACCCCUUUCAGUUGGGACGAAGCUUCUUUGGUGAAUAGCCAAACGGAGUGACGGUACCUUCAUAAGAAGCACCGGCUAACUACGUGCCAGCAGCCGCGGU